UUAACUGAGAACCUGUGGGUAUGGGGCGGCAGUCCCUUCUCAAAAACUCAGCACCGAGAUUCUUCCCAAAACCCCAGGCUUUUUCACAGGAAAGAAAUCUAGCAAAAAUAAUUAAAGGAGGCAGCGGCCAGAGGGGGAUGUCUGCAAAAAGAAUGUGUGCAACAAGAAAAGGGCUUGUGAUCACAUAGGUACGUGUCCACAAAAAGGGUUAAAGAAUAAGGCUGCAUUUUUAGCCUACCCUAUGCCCUUCCUGGAAUCAAUGGCAUGCACAAUAUUGUACCCAAUCAAAGGGAUUGGCAGUUAAAAAAUCAUCUUUUUGCAAUUGAUGGACAUGUUGAAGUCAGUCUUGUUAUGCUGUUUCAGAUGAUUCUUGUGUCACCUACAAUUGAUCACGUAGCCAUAUGAUGCAAAGACAGUGUAUUCAAACCACACACAUUUGGAUUAAGAUGUAUUUAAAAACCG